rnacentral:rRNA from 1 species
GUCGAGGGGCAUCAGGAUGUAGCAAUACAUUGGCUGGCGACCGGCGCACGGGUGAGUAACACGUAUCCAACCUGCCUUUUACUCGGGGAUAGGCUUUCGAAAGAAAGAUUAAUACCCGAUGGCAUAAUAUUUCCGCAUGGGAUUAUUAUUAAAGAAUUUCGGUAAAAGAUGGGGAUGCGUUCCAUUAGGCAGUUGGCGGGGUAACGGCCCACCAAACCUUCGAUGGAUAGGGGUUCUGAGAGGAAGGUCCCCCACAUUGGAACUGAGACACGGUCCAAACUCCUACGGGAGGCAGCAGUGAGGAAUAUUGGUCAAUGGGCGGAAGCCUGAACCAGCCAAGUAGCGUGAAGGAUGACUGCCCUAUGGGUUGUAAACUUCUUUUAUAGGGGAAUAAAAUGAGCCACGUGUGGCUUUUUGUAUGUACCCUAUGAAUAAGGAUCGGCUAACUCCGUGCCAGCAGCCGCGGUAAUACGGAGGAUCCGAGCGUUAUCCGGAUUUAUUGGGUUUAAAGGGAGCGUAGGUGGACAUGUAAGUCAGUUGUGAAAGUUUGCGGCUCAACCGUAAAAUUGCAGUUGAUACUGUGUGUCUUGAGUACAGUAGAGGUGGGCGGAAUUCGUGGUGUAGCGGUGAAAUGCUUAGAUAUCACGAAGAACUCCGAUUGCGAAGGCAGCUCACUGGACUGUUACUGACACUGAGGCUCGAAAGUGUGGGUAUCAAACAGGAUUAGAUACCCUGGUAGUCCACGCCGUAAACGAUGUCUACUCGGAGUUUGGUGUCUUG